GACCGCCUCUGGAGAGACCGCACGUGGACCACAACGUCAGGGUGGCCCCCUACAAUACCACCGGAGAGGAGGUUUUACACACAUCCAAACAGCAAAGGAUUCCUGGCUGUUCCCAGCAGUGGAAGCUUUGCUCUCCUCCACUUUGACAGGCACCACACCUAUCCAGGGCUCCUGGUCUUUGGCCUGGACACCCCCACCUUUAUCCUGGCUCACCUGCGGCUCCUCAUCCUGCACCUGAACAAUGGCAAUUGGAAACACUGGGGUCGUUAUAUGAUUGUUACUGGGUAAUAUCAUAGACGUAUCCUAUGCAGACUUUGCAUGCUUGAUGAUUCAACAUGCAAUGGUGAAAAUAACACAUUUUAAGCUAUUGCUAGACAAUAUAAAGUACUGUAUAUAUGCACUGUAUGUAUGUUAUUUUCUCAGUAACUAAUGUUUAUAUCCAUAUCAUGUUGCACACACAAAUCCAGUGGUUUUACAUAGCAGAGCCUAGCUAGCUGUAACAUCACUCACUAAUAUGAGGUCCCCUUCGAGAUCAUGCUCUUGUUGUUGAUUGUGUUUUUCGGGUACGCUGCUGCUUUCCCAGUUCGCUUCGAGCACCUCGCCUUGUAGAACGGUGCUGACAUCUGGACGUUCUCUCAGCAGAACCUCGACCAAGGCGACCUGAGCGCCCGUAACUAGCAGACACGACAAGAACGAAGGAGCCGAGACCAGAAACACCACGGUAAAAUAGCAGCAGCUUGCAGACAUGGCCGAAGAAACGCGUAAAUUAAAAAUAUUAUAAAAUAAAUAAUCUUAUCAACUGUCAACCAUUAUUUUACAGAACCAAGUAAGUUACUGUACUUUUUGG